AUUGAACGCUGGCGGCAUGCCUUACACAUGCAAGUCGAACGGCAGCAUGAUCUAGCUUGCUCGAUUGAUGGCGAGUGGCGAACGGGUGAGUAAUACAUCGGAACGUGCCCUGUAGUGGGGGAUAACUAGUCGAAAGAUUAGCUAAUACCGCAUACGACCUGAGGGUGAAAGUGGGGGACCGCAAGGCCUCAUGCUAUAGGAGCGGCCGAUGUCUGAGUAGCUAGUUGGUGAGGUAAAGGCUCACCAAGGGGACGAUCAGUAGCUGGUCUGAGAGGACGAUACGCCCCACAGGGGAAGAGAAAACGGCCCGAGACCUAAGGGGGGGACAGGGGGGGGAAUUUUGGCAAAGGGGGAAAACCCGAAGCCGAAAAGCCGCGGGGGUGAAAAAAGGCCUCGGGUGGUAAAAGCCUUUUUUUCGGGAAAAAAAGGGGUCUGUUUAACUCUGGGGGUCGUGACGGUACCCGAAAAAAAAGGGACGGCUAACUACGUG
rnacentral:rRNA from 1 species